UACGUAGGGCGCAAGCGUUAUCCGGAAUUAUUGGGCGUAAAGAGCUUGUAGGCGGUUUGUCGCGUCUGCCGUGAAAGCCCAGGGCUUAACCCUGGGUCUGCGGUGGGUACGGGCAGACUAGAGUGUGGUAGGGGAGACUGGAAUUCCUGGUGUAGCGGUGAAAUGCGCAGAUAUCAGGAGGAACACCGAUGGCGAAGGCAGGUCUCUGGGCCACUACUGACGCUGAGAAGCGAAAGCAUGGGGAGCAAACAGG
rnacentral:rRNA from 1 species